CAUUUUUCAUGAUGUACUCUGCAUAUAAGUUAAAUAAGCAGGGUGACAAUAUACAGCCUUGACGUGCUCCUUUUCCUACUUGGAACCAGUCUGUUGUUCCAUGUCCAGUUCUAACUGUUGCUUUUUACUUUUCCAGUGGAGCACAUUUUUCCAUAACUCUCCACCAUGACCCGUCCAUCUUGGGUGGCCCUACACAGCAUGGCUCGUGGUUUCAUUGAGUUAGACAAGGCUGUGGUCCAUGUGAUUAGUUUUCUGUGAUUGCCCUUUUAUGGAGAAGGCUAAGAGGCUUAUGGAAGCUUCCUGAUGGGAGAGACUGACUGAGGGGGAAACUGGGUCUUCUUCUGAUGGGCUGGACCAUACCCAGUACAUCUUUAAUCUGAUUUUCUGUUGAUGGGUGGGGCUGUGUUACCUCUCUGUUUUUUGACCUGAGGCCAAACUAUGGUGGAGGUAAUGAAGAUAAUGGCGACCUCCUUCAAAAGGUCCUGUGCACACACUGCUUUUACUCAGUGCCCCGGCCCUGUAGCAGGCCACUGCCGACCCAGGCGUCCACCAGAGACUCCUGGCCACUCACCAGCAAGUCUGAGUCAGUUUCUUUUGGGGCCGUUGUUCGUUUUUCUUGGGUCCUGGUGCACACAAGGUUUUCUUUGUGCCCUCCAAGAGUCUGUUUGCCCAGUCCUGUGUAAGUUCUGGCGGCUCUGUUGUGGGGUUAAUAGUGACCUUCUCCAGGAGUGCUUAUGCUAUACCCAGGUCUGCUGCAUCUAGAGCCCCUGCCCCAGCAGUAGGCCCCUGCUGAUCCAUGCCUCCACAGGAGACACUCAAACUCAAAGGCAGGUCUGGCUCAGACUCUGGCAUCCCCAGUGAGCCCAAGGUUUUGUUUGAGACCUUUGAGCAUCUCUGGCGGAUAUGGGGUUUGAUUCUAAACACAAUUUCGUCCCUCCAGCCAUCUUGCUGGAGCUUCUCCUUUGCCCUUGGAUGUGGAGUUUAUUUUUGGUGGGAUCCUUCAUUCUCCUAUCAACGGUUGUCCAGCAGCGAGUUGUAAUUUUGGAGUUGAGAAGAUAAGCGCCUGACCAUCUGCUCUUCCAUCUUGGGUCUAUCAUUACAGUUUAUGCAGUGAUUUUUGGGGCAUAGGGAUACCUAGAUUGUCUCCAUGUCUUCAGAUUGUUAGAUUCUCAUAGGAAAAGAUUAGACUGUAUAUUUUUAACAAAGAAAAAUGACCAAAGGAUUUUAUUUUUAUCUUUAGGAAGAAAGGAAGACAUUAAAGGAAUUGUCAUUUAAGUCAUAGCUGUUCUUAUAGCUAACAUAAAGUAAUGGUUAUUUUGCUAUACUAUAUACACAUACUGGUUGAGAAUUUAUAUGCAUAUACAAACAUACUGUAAAUGUAUAAUACACAUACAUAUGUAAAAUUAGUUUUAGGGAUAAUUUCUUUUUAAACAUCUAUUCAUGCUUUACUUUUUUUAGGAAAAAAAUGAAAAUGGAAUUUCAGUUAUAAGCUUAAAUGUGUAGAAACCUGCUUCAUUUAUAUCUAAACGAAUGUUAAUUUUUAUAUAAAAUGUUUAAGUGGCUAUGUAUUUUUUUAAUGUUUCCAUAUAUACUUUUGUGAGAACAGAAUUUCUGUGAUUUUGAGGUUUUUUUCUGAGAGCUUUUGAAAGUUUUCUGGUGGGUAGUUAAAUUUGUAUAGUAUAAUCAGUAACUAAUGUCAGGAGUAUUCUCAGUUACUUAUAAUGUAAAUAAUGAAAAUUUGUUAGAGGUAUCAUUAGUAUAUCUUAUUUUGUAUAGCAGUUUGGCAAUGACAAUCAAAAUUUGCAUAUGUAAAACUUUUGAAAUGAUAAAACUUGCUGAUGGGAUUUUACCUAUUACUGUUCUCAAAUUCAUAAAGAAGAAAAUAUGUUACAGAUUGUAACAUAAUUUGAAUGUCUGAAAUAUACAUCAUUAAAAGAAGAACUGUAAUGAUAGCUUAUUUGUUUGACUGUCAUUCAGACACUGAAAAAAUAUUCUGAUAUUGAAGAAUGUUUUAAGUUGAUUCUUUUAAUUGUCAUUUUUGAACAGAUAACAACUAAAUGUGUAUGCUGAGAUGUGUCCAUAUGCCUCUGUUUGAAAUAUUAAUGGUUACUAUUCCUAAGGAAUGGGUUUAUUCUGACAUGAUAAUAGAGUUAAAUAAUGCUUACUCAGUAGUGUUAACUAUAAUGGUGAUUAUUUUAGCAUUCUUUUUGAAACUUUUGCACAUGUAAGUUCAGUACUAAAACAUAUGUUGCUACAUGACAAUGUAAAAGUGUAAAUGUGCAUUAUGGAAUAGAAAGUUGUCUGGAAAAUCAUAGCAAAAAUUUAACAUUACUAUAUAAACAUACCAGGAAAAAGGACAGCUGCUAUUUACUGCCUUUAAAUUUUUAAAUGUAUUUCGAAAGCAACAUCUAACAACCAAAGGAACUUAAAAGAUACAGCCAGUUUGUGCUUGUCUUCAUCAUUACCUGUUGACAUUUUGGGAGUGUUGGGCCGUUGUAUCCAGCUUUGUAUUCCCAGUGACUGUUACGCGUAGUUCUGAGUGAUCAUGAAGAACGUGUGACUUAGAUACUACUGCCGCAGAGAGUUUUAAACAGUGAAACAAAGAGAAUUUGAUUACCCUUGGAAAGAAGGGAGAAGAUGGGAUUUGAGGUAAAUAUGGUGAAAGAAGAACAUAGCAUGCAGAUAAUCUGAGGAUAUCUGACAUCAUCAGGAACAUUCUUCUUACGGAGUUCCUUAAUUUAUAAAUCUCAACUGUAAAUCACAAGUAAGAAGGUUCUGGAUCAAGAAAUGCUGUAUUAGGACAAGAUUUUGGCUAGGCUCAGGAAAAUAACACUGGUGCAGACUUUGUUCUUGUGCAGCUUGGAAUUAUCAGAUAUUCCUGAGAAUCGAUUCUGUGGGUGAAGAUUUCUGAGAGUUCCAGAAUGUAUGAAGAAUCAACUGGGAAGACCCAGUUCAAUGAUGGAGAGUGAUUCAAACCACUAGAGUCUUCUGGAUACUUCUUCACUCACAUCUGGCACUGGUUUUAGAUGACUUGGAAGUGUGUUCUCUCAAGUGACGACUACGUAGGAAAACUGAUACCGUUGAUUCUGCCACCAUCUUCCAUAAAACCAAAAAAUAGUCUUCAUAAUGUAUGGCAAAUCCUCAUUAUUGUAUUGCAGCAGACACUCCCUGUAGAUCGUAAAAACAGGCUGAGAAGGCUCAAAUUUAAAGGGUGGUAUUGGAGAGAAUUGUAACCAGGCAUGUGGACUGUUUUCAUUGUUGCUAAUGGACUGAAUCUCAGGAGCUUGAAUGAUGGAGACAUUGUUACACAAAGACGCUCAGUCAGGACUUUGUAAUGUCAAAGCUUCAUUUCAUUGCUCCCAGAAGUAUUAGUGCAUAUAUUUAAAAUUUUCAUUUAUCACAGAGAAAUUUAAAAUUGAUUCAUAAAAAACACAAUUUUCAAGAUUUCAAAGGAUAUGGAAAAUUUUAAGUGUAACAUUUUACUUCUUAAAUGCCGUUUUUCCUCCUCUGAUUCUGCCACGUCUGUCUGUCUUAUCUACUUAAUGAUGAAAUUUUGUGCAUAUCUUAUGAGUUUAUUGAUAAAUUAACACUCACGGCAUUUUGGGGGAUUUGUAUAUACUAGCCACAGAUUUUUCUAUGCAGUAAGUGUUGUUUAUAUAUAAAUUGUACAUUUAUCCAACUAAUUUGUUGAAAUAAUUCCAAUGAAACUGUGAAGACUAAGGAUACCCAAAAUUUAUAGUUUCGAGUCCAAAGUAAAAUAGAUUUUCCUCUAUUAUAUAGACAGGAUUUCAUCAAUCUUAUCUACAAGUGUUUAUGUGGAUAUAUUUCCUAAAACUGUAUAAAUGUUACAUUUUUAUUUUUUGGCAAUAUGAUGUUACAAAGAAAUUGCCUUUCUUCUGUUACUGUUCAGUCUGUCAUCUUCAUAUAUGCUUAAUCCUUACAGUCUCUUGCAUUAUUUCAUUUUGCUCUGUUUUUUUUUUCCUUUCAGUUUCCUUGGUAUAUCAAUGUCUUAGUGUAGUGCAAAUGAAAUACCAUAUUUUAUUGCUGUCAAUUUACUGUGGUGUUUUGUAUUUUGGUUGUGUAUUAAAAUAUAAUCAUACUAUGUUUUAUGCCUUUUGAGGUUUGUGUUUUUCUUUAAAACAUGUUUGUAUUAGUAUCAUUUCUUCAUCUGUGUUUUUUUCAUCAGAUGUUUUGCCAUUUUAUUUCUCUUUCCAUUUAUCCUUACUGUGGUUUUAAAGCAUUACAUAUUCAAAUUGUUUACCUUGACUUAGGUAGUUAAAAACUCAUCUUCACUUCUACCAUAAUCAUAGAAAUUCUGACAUAUAAUUGGUUGAAUUUCUAUUUAUUUGUCUGCCUUACUUUCUAUUGUUACUUUAAAAUUACUGAUGAAUCUUCUAUUCCAUUGAGCUCUGUCUCAUUUCUCUUCUUUUUCAGAAUAUUCCCUGUCAACACUUGCAUUUUUUCUCUCAAUUGAUACUUAACAUUACAUUGCAAGUUGGAAAAAAUAAUGCAGUUUUUAUUUCAUUUGCAACAAUUUAAUAGAUUAAUUAGGAGAGACUAGAUCUCUUUAAAAUUGAGUCUUCCUGUCAAACAACAAGUUCCUUCACUUAGCACGAUUUUUCAAAGUUCAGCCAUAUUAUAGCAUGGAUUGGAACUCCAUUUCUAUUUAUGGGUCAAAGGCUAGAACAAGUUAACAUACUUCAGGGAGGAAAGAAGGACUGAAAUGAGGGCCUCUACUUCAGAGAAUAGGGGUGAAGUUGCCAGGCAUGAUUGUCUGUCACCCAGGAGACGAAGCCCCGCCCAUAAAGGUGACUCGAGGUGCAAGAGAGUCCGGCGAGAAGUGUGGCGGGCCCAGGUUGCUGCCAGUUCUUUUAGGAUCACCCUGGGACUACCUGAGUGGCUGUGAUGUUGCCAGGUCACCCAGGAUACAAAGCCCUGCCCAUGAGGUGGUGAUUCAAGGUGCAAAGGAGUCCAAAAAGAAGUGUGGAGGGCCCAGGUUGCUACCUCUGCUUUUUGGAUCACUGAGCAUGGAAUGCCUUCGUCUGCCCCAAGAUGAGUCAUGGAUUUACAGUUUCCUGGGACUGCCUGAGUAGCUGUGAAGUUUCCAAGUAUGAGUGUCCGUCACUCAGGAAAUGGAGCCCCGCUCAUGAGAUGUUGACUCGAGGUGUUGGGGAGUCCGGUGAGAAGUGUGGCAGGCCCAGGUUGCUGCCACUGCUCCCUGGAUAAUCGAGCACGGUGAAGUUCCCAAGUAUGAGUGUCCAUCACACAGGAAACGGAGCCCCACUCGUGAGAUGGUGACUCGAGGUGCUAAGGAGUCCGGUGAGAAGUGUGGCGGGCCCAGGUUGCUGCCACUGCUCUUUGGAUCACUGAGCACGGUCUUCUGAAGUCUUCCUGAAAGCCACCUUGGUGAUCUAUGAGCCCUCGGUCAUGUUGCAUAGCUGAGACGUGGCAGAAAGGCGUGAUGUCGCCCUAGUCAAAGCCCACCUUCUCCUGUGGGUCUUGCUGGGUGCUCAUUGUCCCUGUGUGUGCUGAGGCCCUGGAGGCUUCUGAUAUGGGUGAAGUUGCCAGGCAUGACUGUCCGUCACCCAGGAGACGAAGCCCCGCCAAUGAGGCGGUGAAUCGAGGUGCAGGGGAGUCUGAUGAGAAGUGUGGUGGACCCAGGUUGCUGCCAGUUCUUUUGGAAUCACCAAGCACAUGGAGAUGAAGCCGUGCCAAUGAGCCAGUGACUCGAGGUGCAGGGGAGUCCGGCGAGAAGUGUGGCGGGCACAGGUUGCUGCCACUGCUUUUUGGAUCACCGAGCACGGUGAAGUUGGCAGGUAUGACUGUCCAUUACCCAGGAGAUGAACCCCCACCCGUGAGGCAGUGUCUGAAGGUGCAAGGGAGUCCGGCAAGAAGUGUGGCCCACCCAAGUUGCUGUCACUGCUUUUUGGAUCACCGAGCAUGAUUGAGUUGCCCAGGAUGGAAGACCAUUGUCAACAGGGAACCCGUCACACAUUCUGUGAAUCCCAGCCUGGUGAGACAAGGAGCAUGAGCCCCUGGGGGCCAUUGUGCAUGCAGCCCUUGGGUUUACAGAUGGAAU